rnacentral:siRNA from 1 species
UAAUCCUAGGGGGUUUUACACAGC